UCUCCGUAGGUGAACCUGCGGAGGGAUCAUUACAGAGUUCAUGCCCUACCGGGUAGAUCUCCCACCCUAUGUUAUUAUUACUUUGUUGCUUUGGCGGGCCGUUAGGCUCCGGCCCGACUACCGGCCCCGGCUGGUAAGCGCACGCCAGAGGACCCAAAACCCUGAAUAUUAGUGUCGUCUGAGUACUAUAUAAUAGUUAAAACUUUCAACAACGGAUCACUUGGUUCUG
rnacentral:misc_RNA from 1 species